rnacentral:rRNA from 1 species
AUUGAACGCUGGCGGCAGGCCUAACACAUGCAAGUCGAACGAGUGGCGGACGGGUGAGUAAUGUCUGGGAAACUGCCUGAUGGAGGGGGAUAACUACUGGAAACGGUAGCUAAUACCGCAUACCAUCAGAUGUGCCCAGAUGGGAAUUGCGAGUUGGUGGGGUAACGGGUCACCAAGGCGACGAUACCUAGCUGGUCUGAGAGGCUGACCGGGCACACGGGAACUGAGACACUGUCCAGAGUCCUACGAGAGGCAGCAGUGGGGAAUAUUGCACAAUGGGCGCAAGCCUGAUGCAGCCAUGCCGCGUGUAUGAAGAAGGCCUUCGGGUUGUAAAGUACUUUCAGCGGGGAGGCGUUACCCGCAGAAGAAGCACCGGCUAACUCCGUGCCAGCCGCCGCGGUAGUAC